rnacentral:rRNA from 1 species
CAGCAGCCGCGGGAAUACGAAGGGUGCAAGCGUUACUCGGAAUUACUGGGCGUAAAGCGUGCGUAGGUGGUGGUUUAAGUCCGUUGUGAAAGCCCUGGGCUCAACCCGGGAAUUGCAGUGGAUACUGGGUCACUAGAGUGUGGUAGAGGAUAGUGGAAUUUCCGGUGUAGCAGUGAAAUGCGUAGAGAUCGGAAGGAACAUCUGUGGCGAAGGCGACUAUCUGGGCCAACACUGACACUGAGGCACGAAAGCGUGGGGAGCAAACAGGAUUAGAUACCCCGGUAGUCCCUGUCUCUUAUAA